AAUGAACGCUGGCGGCAGGCCUAACACAUGCAAGUCGAGCGGGGUUUUCGGACCUAGCGGCGGACGGGUGAGUAAUGCGUAGGAAGCUACCCGAUAGAGGGGGAUACCAGUUGGAAACGACUGUUAAUACCGCAUAAUGUCUACGGACCCAAGUGUGGGACCUUCGGGCCACAUGCUAUCGGCUGCUCCUACGUGGGAUUAGCUAGUUGGUGAGGUAAUGGCUCACCAAGGCGACGAUCACUAGCUGGUUUGAGAGGAUGAUCAGCCACACUGGAACUGAGACACGGUCCAGACUCCUACGGGAGGCAGCAGUGGGGAAUAUUGGACAAUGGGCGCAAGCCUGAUCCAGCCAUGCUGCGUGUGUGAAGAAGGCCUUCGGGUUGUAAAGCACUUUCGGUAGGGAGGAAGCGUUGUGUGUUAAUAGUACACAGCGUUGACAGUACCUACAGAAGAAGCACCGGCUAACUCUGUGCCAGCCGCCGCCGUAACAC
rnacentral:rRNA from 1 species